rnacentral:lncRNA from 1 species
CUGCUUGUCGAAGUCUUUUUUACUCCAACCGGUAGGUCUCUAGACGUUACAGAGAACCCCGAAUGACCCAAACUGUUAAUCUUCGAUAUCGCUUUAUACUCACGAUCUUGUAUCCACUGACUGUCUUGUUAGAUUAACUCAAUAAAUUUCAUUCACUCUGCAUACUCAAUCCUAUAGACACCCUUUUAACUCUUUCAUCACAAACGUAACUCGAUUUCACAAAACAGUCAAGAGUAAUCAAAUCCACUUCAUUAAAAAUCCCGAUUCACCA